AUCCUAGCAUUUAGGAGGGAGAGGAAGGCAGAUCUUUGUGAGUUCAAGGACAGCCUGGUCUACAUAGUGAGUUCCAUCCAGGACAGCCAGAGGUGCAUAGUGAGACCCUGUCUCAAACAACAACAAACAAAACAAAAAGGAUUUAUUUUAGUUUUGUGUAUCAGUGUAUGAGUAUUUUGCCUGCAUAAGUGUAUGUAUACCACAUGUGUGGUACCCUUGAAAGUCAGAAGGAGAAAUUGGAUUUCCUGGAAUUAGAGUUACGGAUGGUUGUGAACAUCAUGUGGGUGCUGGGGACUGAACCCUGGUUCUCGGCAACAGCAAGUGCUCUGGACCACUGAGCCAUCUCUUCAGCCCCUGCACCCACCUUUUUACAUGGGAGCUAGGACUCAAUUCCUUCUGCUUACAUAGUAAGCACUUGACUCCUGGACCCAUCUUCCUAGCCCCCACUUGUGGUGAUAAUGUGUUCCCCAAUAUAUUGUGAACCCUAAUAAACUUGUCUGGGGUCAGAGAACAGAACAGCCACUAGACAGACAUAGAGACCAGAAAAUGGUGGCACUCACACCUUUAAUCCUAGCAUUCCAGAGUCAGAGAUCCAUCUGGAUCUCUGUGAGUAAAUAGCCAGGCAUGGUGACUCAUGCCUUUAAUCCCAGGAAGAGAGCCUUUAAUCAGAGGAAGUGAUGGCAGAAAGCAGAAAGGUAUAUAAAGCGUGGAAACCAGGAACUAGAGCUGGUUAAGCUUUUAGGCUUUUAGCAGCAGUUCAGCUGAGAUCCAUUUGGAUGAGGACUCAGAGGCUUCCAGUCUGAGGAAACAGGAUCAGCUGAGGAACGGGCGAGAUGAGGUAGCUGUGGCUUGCUCUGCUUCUCUGAUCUUUCAGCAUUGACCCCAAUACCCAGCUCCAGGUUUGAUUUUAUUAAUAAGAACUUUUAAGAUUCGUGCAACCCCCCCUUUCAAUUUUAAAGAAAGACAGUUACAGAGAAGUACUGUGCCUAUGGCCACCCCACUAGGAAGUGCAGAGAGGAUCUGCACCAGGUCUAACUCAUGCUCUUUGCUCUAGGGCUAACCUAAACUUCUAGGCAUGUCAUUGCUGCUGAUGCUCUGCAAGUCGGUGGGUUCUAUAUUCUCUGAAGCAACAGGAGCUGGAUAGGAACUUGGAGCUUGCUCAGACCACAUCCCUCAUUUUACUGAUGACGAUCCCAAGACUUGGAGCAGAAAAGUGUUCUCACCUCAGAUUGCCAGUGGCUGCUCUUGACUUUCAAGCUGAACACUCAAGCCUGAUUAUGAUCCUCCUCUAUGCAGCCUGUGGUUUUCUCCCACCCAUCUCCACCACCAUGGUGACAGGAGGAGUGAAGGUGUCGGCCUUGACUCGGAGAUUGUCUUUCUCAGACACUCAGUAGCUUCCAUCUCCAGUCUAUCUCCGGCUCAGAGUGAACCUGGGAGACCGCAGCCAUUCCCUGGAAGGACGCCGAUCUUCACCUUCCUUAAGGUGACAAUGUCUCUCCUACUCUCUGGCACUCACGGAGCCUGCAGUGCUGAGGCCGCAAAAGGACAGAACCCAAUCCUACCGGAACAUGUUGGUCUUUGCUUAGCUCUCUAUGCGGCAGGGGGUUCUACACAAUAAUACCUUCCAUGCCUUGACAAGAGUUCCCGAAAGUGGCACAAUGAAAGUGGUACUGUGAUGAUGACUAACUUGUGUACCCACUUGACUAGGUGAAUGAAAGUCAAGAUAGCUGGAGGGAAAUCAUUUUGACGUAUUGUUAUGUACAGUCUGGAGAAGGAUCUACAAUAACCAUAUUUUGAGUCCCAAAUGAGUAAGUUAAACACGUAGUAAGACAAAGGAACAGACCAAAUAACAAGUGGUAGACAGACAGUAAAACGUCAUAAAAUUGGGCUCUCUCACUUUGUUUCAUCUAUAUCUACUUUCCAGUCACUCCCAAACUGCCCAUGCUUCGGCAGGGUUGCCUCCACCUCACCAACUUCGCUGUUAAGGCUCCCUCUGCUGGAAGCCUCUGUCUCAUCUUUUUGUCUCUCUUUGCCUCUUUCUCUCCCCCACUUCUCCUUUCUUGCUGACAGGAUCUCAUGUACACCAAGGUGGUCUUGAAUUUACUAUGUAGCCAAGUCUGAGCUUGAACUUCUGGCUGUCCAAUUUCUUCCUCCUGAGUGGUGGGGUUAUCAGUGUGUGCCACCACAUCCAGCUAGUUCUGGUUUUUAAGACUGGUCCCAGGCAUCAUUUCUCUUAGGCCUUUGCUGAGCUGCUUCUGUUCAGCGUCAACUAUUCCUACUAAGCAUGGGGAGGUAGGCUGCACUUUAGAGCCUUGGAUUUUAGGAGAGUUCCUUGAGCCUCCAAUAAGCAUUUCACUGUUGUGUAGACUAUUAGUGCAAUGUUGAACACUUACUUUCCUUUUGGGAGUCUGCAGUCUUGGUUCAUGCUUUGUGGAUAGUGCCUUUAUGAUCAUCCCCCCGUGAGUCUGAGCCCUGAGAUGCUGAAAGACUUUCAGAUUGACAUUUCACACUUGUUAUGACCCAUUUCCUGAAGGGUGAACUGCAUCCUGCCUGAUUCCACUGGGUAAGGGCUCUUGGAAGUUUGUACCCCCUGGCUUCUAGAUGGCCCUUCGUGAAUUUUCCCACUGUUAAUUUUGCUUUGUGCCUUUUCACUGUAACACACCAUAGCCACACAGAUGACUAUAUACUGACUCCUCCAUGAAAAUCAUUGACUGGCUUGUCUUGGGACUUUCCACCACAUGUACCACAUGCCUCAUGCAGAUUCUUCCUUGCAUUAAAAUCUCAUACUUUCCAGUAGUUUUACUUAUGACCUAACUUUGUCACAAAGGGUGGGUCUGUCCCAUACACCUCGUCACUCCUUGGUUAUCCGGACACUGAGUUCUGCUGCCCAGCAGAGGAUAUUCUUCUAUUUACAGAUGCUAGACAUCACCUCCAGAAGCCACAGAUUUGACCCAUCGCCCCGGAAAGAUGUUAGAACAUGAAACUGGUGUCAGGGCAGAUUUGGGCAUCCCUUUCUAAGGGAGCCCUUGCAGCAGCAGUCUGUCUAUCAAGCUGUCUUUUCCUCAGGUGAUGGCUCAGAUACAAUGAGAUCCCUAUUGGGCAUAUUUGGAAAUCAGCCUAGCUUAAAUGUCUCAUUUCCACCCCUCACUUUCUUUUUCUUUUUUGAGGCAAGAUCUCACUGGCUGGCCUUAAAUUCACGGAGAUCUGCCUGCCUUCACCUCCCAAAUACUGGAAUUAAAGGCAUUCAUAUUUUUUUUCUGGUAAUCACCAUAUAGGCAUGGCUUCCACAGAUCAUAUGCUUACAAGAGUGACCCCUAUCAAGAUGGUCAAACCUGUGGCUUUUUUGGGUGAUAUUUAUUUGUGUGCAUGUAGCAUAUAUGUAUGCACAUGCAUGCACACAUGCCAUAGCAUGUAAGUAGUCAGAGGGUAGUCUGUGAGAAUUUGUUUGCUCCUAUUACACGGGUUCCUGGACCUGAACUGAGAUUGUCAGGCUUAAUGGCAAGUGCCUUUAUCCACUGAGUUAGUGAGAUGCAGUUGAUUAGUUAGAGGCCACUUGUGCCAUGAGUAGUACGUUUGGCAACAAAGUUGCCAUACAUCUAUAGCCCUACAUCCAUGUGUAUAUGGGCAGCACAAACUGUACUCAGUCAGUUAAAGAGGAGAUGAAGUUGAGAUGGGAAUAGGUCUGGGAGGUGUAGGAGUGGGUAGCGAGGGAUGGAUAGAAUCAAAAUACAUUGUCUCAUGCAUACCAUUCUUUAAGAAUAGAUACAUUUUUAAAACUUACAAGUUGACAUACGAUUUUAACAUAACCAACCUCCAUGACAGCUCCCAGUGACCCCUGAAUCCCAUGUUCAUGCCUCCUCAUUAGGCUAUGGAGGUAGUGAGGUAUGGCUUCUGAGGCUGGGUUACAAAAGAUAUUACAGCUUCUAUUUCCCUCCCUUACUCACCUACUCCAGGGGAGUCAGCUAUGUGAGGAUGUGUAAGCGCUCUGAUGAAGAGGACCAUGUGGUCGGAAACUGAUGUCUCCUGCCAACAGUCAUGAGAUAGCACUGCCUUGGAAGUGGAUUCUCCAGUUCCAUCAAAGCCUUCAGAUGAAUGUAGCCCUAACUGGGCUGGACCAGAUAUUUUCAUCUCUCUGACUUUACUUUCUCAGGGCUGCUCUAUAGCUUGUGACUGGCUUUAUCCCCCACCCUCUCUCUCUGAAAUAGGAGAUUCUUAUGGAGCCCUAGGUGGUCUCAAACUCACAGAGAUCCACCUGCUUCUGCCUCUUGAGUGCUAGGAUGAGAAGCAUGUGAUACCACCCCUGACUCAUUUUCUUUUUUCUUGUAUCCUUGGAGACAGUGGGUUUUAUUCUAGGAUUUUAUUUUCCAGUACAAUUCUUUGUUGAUUCAUUUACCAACCCAACAUUUCCAUUUGGUCAGGCUCACAUUCCCUGCUCCCCUCCAAGUGAUUAUUUCCAUUCUUUCUGCAAAUAAUUAUAUAUUUCUCAAUGAUAUUGGAUAUUUACUGCCUGUGAUGUACUUAGGAGGAAUGACAAAGAGGACGAAGAGCAAAGAUA